CCUACGGGAGGCAGCAGUAGGGAAUCUUCCACAAUGGACGAAAGUCUGAUGGAGCAACGCCGCGUGAGUGAAGAAGGGUUUCGGCUCGUAAAGCUCUGUUGGUAGUGAAGAAAGAUAGAGGUAGUAACUGGCCUAUAUUUGACGUUAAUUACUUAGAAAGUAACGGCUAACUACGUGCCAGCAGCCGCGGUAAUACGUAGGUGGCAAGCGUUGUCCGGAUUAUUGGGCGUAAAGCGAGUGCAGGCGGUUCAAUAAGUCUGAUGUGAACGCCUUCGGCUCAACCGGAGAAUUGGAUCAGUAACUGUUGAACUUGAGUGCAGGAGAGGUGAGUGGAACUCCAUGUGUAGCGGUGAAAUGCGUAGAUAUAUGGAAGAACACCAGUGGCGAAGGCGGCUCUCUGGUCUGCAACUGACGCUGAGGCUCGAAAGCAUGGGUAGCGAACAGGAUUAGAUACCCUAGUAGUC
rnacentral:rRNA from 1 species